rnacentral:lncRNA from 1 species
UGUUAGAAAAGUUUAUAUGAGAAUAAAGUAACCUCUCCAAUUUCCUUCAUGUACUUGAUAACUAUCACUAUGGUUUGGUCAAUUGGUUAGCCAUAUCUUUUAUACUCCCUCCAUUCCCCAUCCCCUUAUUCUACACGUCCCUAUAGUCCAUGGAAAACGCUGUCUCUUUGUUUGACCGACAGUCUAAUAAUCUCACAUGAAAAC